UGGGUUGUGGCUUAAUGGUAGAGCUCUUACCUGGAAUGCAUGAGGCCCUGAGUUCCAUCCCAAGCAAUGCAA
rnacentral:tRNA from 1 species